GGGGAUGUAGCCUAGUGGGAGAGCAUUUGGCUUAGCAUGCAUGAGGCCCUGGAUUCAAUCCCCAGUACCCCCG
rnacentral:tRNA from 1 species